rnacentral:rRNA from 1 species
GUUGAACGCUGGCGGCGUGCCUAAUACAUGCAAGUCGAGCGAACAGACGAGGAGCUUGCUCCUCUGACGUUAGCGGCGGACGGGUGAGUAACACGUGGAUAACCUACCUAUAAGACUGGGAUAAUUUCGGGAAACCGGAGCUAAUACCGGAUAAUAUAUUGAACCGCAUGGUUGAAUAGUGAAAGACGGUGUUGCUGUCACUUAUAGAUGGAUCCGCGCCGCAUUAGCUAGUUGGUAAGGUAACGGCUUACCAAGGCAACGAUGCGUAGCCGAACUGGGAGGGUGAUCGGCCACACUGGAACUGAGACACCGUCCAGACUACUGCGGGAGGCAGCAGUAGGGAAUCUUCCGCAAUGGGCGAAAGCUUGACGGAGCGACGCCGCGUGAGUGAUGAAGGUCUUCGGAUCGUAAAACUCUGUUAUUAGGGAAGAACAACUGUGUAAGUAACUAUGCACGUCUUGACGGUACCUAAUCAGAAAGCCCCGGCUAACUACGUG